UGGCCGUGGGAGGCGAGGUCAGUGUUGUCUUCUUCAACACAUCUGACGAGGACAGGGACAUCAAAGGAGGACGAUGAGAGCUCACAGAUGAAACAUGUGGAGAGAAAAACCCUGCUUCGGUUCCCCGACUGUGAGAGUCCUGAUGAGUACACGUCUAAACUGAGACAUUUGACCUGAAGACCACUGUCCUCCCAGUCAGACGCAGAGCAUGAAGUCGUCUGCUGUGGAAACACUUCAGUGCAGGAACGUUCCUGAAGGCCGUGCACGGAUCCCUGACCUGACACUCACAGUGAUCAUGUGAUGUAAGAGGACCGUCACCUCUGAAGACUGGACCACAGGACCUGGACUUGCUCACCAUGCCGUUGUUGUGGACAGCAGCUGGAAUUUGAAAUGGACUUAACCUGGAAUGACUGAGAGAACCAGAGAGUGAGCCUGGGAAACACACGGCAGAGAGAGAGAGAGAGAGAGAUGAAUUCCCCCUUCCAACAGCCCACAUCACAUCACAACAAAGGCUGUUAUGCAACUGCUGACGGAUGACACAAAGUGGACGGCUGGCGCCGCCUUGCGUCCAAACUGCAGCAGACAACAGACUGGUACGGUUAGAACGGCUUUUUGAAGUCUUAAUAAGUAACAUUAGCUUAUUAGCUUAAUAAGUAACAUGGCUACGAUGUUUGCACAGAAAUGAGGACAUAAUAAUUAACAAAGAACCUUAAAGUCAGUUAAAAAGUAAUGUAAAUGUCGCCAAAGCAGGUAGGACGAGCGUUUUUUUUAGCGUUUGUAAAAGUGAACGAAGAAAACGUUUAUUUAUUGAUUAUUUUUUCCAACGAGCCGUUAGGAGCUCCGUAUGUUUUAGCCAUCUUUAUGCUAACUUUUGCGCAUCCUAUAGCAAUUUUUAGCUUUUUGGCCUUUUAAAGACAAUUUUCCAAAUUUUUGUUGACCUUUAUGUUGAUGCUAUUUUUGUCGUUUUGUUAUAAUUUGACAACAUUUGUUUGUUUUGUUUUUUUAACUUUUUUUCUUUACUAUUUGGCCGGAAAUUUUUAGUUGAUUUUUUUUUCUUCAGCUAUUUGGUUAAGAAUUUCCAUUUUGGCUAUUAUUUCCAGCAACUUUAGUAAAUGUUUUUUAAUCUUUUACCUGCCUUUUGGCAACAACUGUAUUAAUGUUUUGUUAAUUUGAAUGAAUUUAUAUUAAGCUUCUGGGAGUAUUUCAGCAAUAAGAUUACGCUAAUGUUUUUAUCUUUUGGUUGAUUUUAUAAUUUGCCAAUAUAUUUAUAUAUUUGCUGUCUUUUGAGAUAAUAUUCAGUAAAGUUUUAAAGUAGUAUAGUCCACUGCAUGUCAAGUAUCAAUAAGGUCCCUGAGCCCAGGUUAUGAACACAUCAGGGUAUAAUUUAAAAAAAAAACGACAACAGUAAAAUCUGGUAGUAGAUCAAGUGUUUAUUAACAAAAGCAUGUAAUCCCCCGGCCCCCCAAAAAACAAAAUGAAACGUUUUAAAGGUCAGAGACUGAUGAGAGGAGCUCACAUUGUGAGACAGACCUGUGGAAGUCAUCUUUGGAGGACAAUAGGAUUUACUUCUUUUGACUGCGAGACAUCAAUGACAGUUUAAACUUCCAGGUGAGUCGUCUGUAGAUCACAGAUUAGUCUUUUCUCAUUACUAUGAAG